AUAACGGUCCUAAGGUAGCGAAAUUCCUUGUCAGGUAAGUUCUGACCCGCACGAAAGGCGUAACGAUUUGGGCGCUGUCUCAGCUGUAGACUCGGUGAAGUCUUAGUACCUGUGAAGAUGCAGGUUACCCGCGACUAGACGGAAAGACCCCAUGGAGCUUCACUGCAGGUUGAUAUUGGGAUUUGAUGCAGCAUGUACAGGAUAGGUAGGAGGCAAAGAGAUGGAUACGCCAGUAUUCAAGGAGCCGCUGUUGGGAUACUACCCCUGUUGUAUUGGAUUUCUAACCGGACGACGUAGAACCGUUGACGGGACAGUGUCAGUCGGGCAGUUUGACUGGGGCGGUCGCCUCCCAAAGAGUAACGGAGGCGCCCAAAGAUACCCUCAGCUUGGAUGGAAACCAAGCGCAGAGUGCAAAGGCAAAAGGGUGUUUGACUGCGAGACCCACAAGUCGAGCAGGGACGAAAGUCGGGCUUAGUGAUCCGGCGGUGCUGAAUGGAAAGGCCGUCGCUCAACGGAUAAAAGCUACCCUGGGGAUAACAGGCUGAUCUCCCCCAAGAGUCCACAUCGACGGGGAGGUUUGGCACCUCGAUGUCGGCUCAUCGCAUCCUGGGGCUGUAUUCGGUCCCAAGGGUUUGGCUGUUCGCCAAUUAAAGCGGUACGCGAGCUGGGUUCAGAACGUCGUGAGACAGUUCGGUCCCUAUCUGUCGUGGGCGCAGGAAAUUUGAGAAGAGCUGUCCUCAGUACGAGAGGACCGGGAUGGACGCAUCAAUGGUGGACCAGUUGUCACGCCAGUGGCAUAGCUGGGUAGCUAAAUGCGGAAGGGAUAAACGCUGAAGGCAUCUAAGUGUGAAACCCACUUCAAGAUGAGAUUUCCCAUUGCGCAAGCAAGUAAGACCCCUUAAAGACGAUAAGGUAGAUAGGUCAGGAGUGUAAGCAUGGUGACAUGUUAAGCGGACUGAUACUAAUAGGUCGAGGGCUUGACCGA
rnacentral:rRNA from 1 species